rnacentral:rRNA from 1 species
GGUUAAGCGACUAAGCGUACACGGUGGAUGCCCUGGCAGUCAGAGGCGAUGAAGGGCGUGCUAAUCUGCGAUAAGCGCCGGUAAGGUGAUAUGAACCGCAAUAACCGGCGAUACCCGAAUGGGGAAACCCAGUGUGACUCGUCACACUAUCAUGCAGUGAAUACAUAGCUGCAUGAGGCGAACCGGGGGAACUGAAACAUCUAAGUACCCCGAGGAAAAGAAAUCAACCGAGAUUCCCCCAGUAGCGGCGAGCGAACGGGGAGGAGCCCAGAACCAUCAUCAGCUUGUGCAUCAGUGGAAGCGUCUGGAAAGUCGCAGGGUACAGGGUGAUACUCCCGUACACAAAGGUGCACAGGUUGUGAGUUCGAUGAGUAAGGCGGGACACGUGGUAUCCUGUCUGAAUAUGGGGGGACCAUCCUCCAAGGCUAAAUACUCCUGACUGACCGAUAGUGAACCAGUACCGUGAGGGAAAGGCGAAAAGAACCCCGGCGAGGGGAGUGAAACAGAACCUGAAACCGUGUACGUACAAGCAGUGGGAGCCUUCUU